rnacentral:rRNA from 1 species
GUGGGGAAUUUUGGACAAUGGGCGCAAGCCUGAUCCAGCAAUGCCGCGUGCAGGAAGAAGGCCUUCGGGUUGUAAACUGCUUUUGUACGGAACGAAAAGGCUCUGGUUAAUACCUGGGGCUCAUGACGGUACCGUAAGAAUAAGCACCGGCUAACUACGUGCCAGCAGCCGCGGUAAUACGUAGGGUGCAAGCGUUAAUCGGAAUUACUGGGCGUAAAGCGUGCGCAGGCGGUUUUGUAAGACAGAGGUGAAAUCCCCGGGCUCAACCUGGGAACUGCAUCUGUGACUGCAUUGCUGGAGUGCGGCAGAGGGGGAUGGAAUUCCGCGUGUAGCAGUGAAAUGCGUAGAUAUGCGGAGGAACACCGAUGGCGAAGGCAAUCCCCUGGGCCUGCACUGACGCUCAUGCACGAAAGCGUGGGGAGCAAACAGGAUUAGAAACCCUAGUAGUCC